GGGGAAGGGAGGCGCGUGGGGUGGGGCGGGGGAGGGCCGCGAAGGGGGUGCCCCGGGCCCCGGCCUGCUGGGGGCCGCUACCGGCCUCACACCGUCCACGGGCUGGGCCUCGAUCAGAAGGACUUGGGCCCCCCACGAGCGGCGCCGGAGAGUGAAUCUUCCGUAUGCCACAUUUCCCGCGCCACACCGAGGGGUGGGGAUUGGGCGCUGGGCUCUUCCCUGUUCACUCGCCGUUACUGAGGGAAUCCUGGUUAGUUUCUUUUCCUCCGCUGACUAAUAUGCUUAAAUUCAGCGG